AUGCAAGAAUCACAAGUUGGUCAA
rnacentral:siRNA from 1 species